GACGAACGCUGGCGGCGUGCUUAACACAUGCAAGUCGAACGGAAAGGCUCCAGCUUGCUGGAGUACUCGAGUGGCGAACGGGUGAGUAACACGUGGGUAAUCUGCCCUGCACUCUGGGAUAAGCCUGGGAAACUGGGUCUAAUACUGGAUAUGACCUUUCUCCUUAUGGGGUUUGGUGGAAAGUUUUUCGGUGUAGGAUGAGCCCGCGGCCUAUCAGCUUGUUGGUGGGGUGAUGGCCUACCAAGGCGACGACGGGUAGCCGGCCUGAGAGGGUGAUCGGCCACAUGGGGACUGAGAUACGGCCCAGACUCCUACGGGAGGCAGCAGUGGGGAAUAUUGCACAAUGGGCGGAAGCCUGAUGCAGCGACGCCGCGUGAGGGAUGACGGCCUUCGGGUGGUAAACCUCUUUCAGCAGGGACGAAGCGUAAGUGACGGUACCUGCAGAAGAAGCACCGGCUAACUACGU
rnacentral:rRNA from 1 species